rnacentral:lncRNA from 1 species
CGCGGCAUGCUUUGCUAUGACUCAGAGCCUGCAAAUGCUGAAAAUACUACCACCAUGUUCCUCGGGAUGACAAAUCCUCCCAAAUGCUAUCACUACGGACUUCCUUCCACGGCAGGCUUCGUGCCCAGUCUGCAAGUCAGCGUAAGCCCUAAGGCUCUGGGCUUCAGGGCCACAGAGCUACUGGUCCUGUUGAUGAAGUGUUAUUGGAACAGCAGAGAACCAGACACUGAAGGAGUUACCUCCAGAAAAUCAGAGAGGACUUCAACGUGUAAACCUGAAUCCUUUGGCCUUUGGCCCUGGGAAGGAAAGCAGCCCAGCCUGGGAAGAAGCCAAGCAGAACAGACGAUGGAGAAGGUGGCCACGGUGCAGGGCCAGGACUUUUUAUCCUAUUAGCCCAUGGCUUCCCAGCAACUUCUGAACAGAAGCAUUCAUCUUACAGAAAUGCUGGGCUUCUUAAAAGGGGAUAAAUGAAGUCAGUCUUUUGGCUACAUUUUCUCUAUAAACUAAGACCUUGUAACAAUUGAUGUUUUUAAACAAUUUUAAGCUUUAACACAAUUGAUGUUGAUGUCUUAAAGGACCGGUUGACAAAUUAAUUCAACAAUACUUCCUAAACAAAACCAAAGGCUGGUUGGGGAAGGGAGGGAGUAAGAAGUGUGACUUCCUGAAACCAUAUUAUAGUGUAGAAGGAUAAAUUUUUUCAAUCCUAGAAAAUACAAAAAAAUAUAUAUAUAUUUAGGAAGAAAGAAGUAACAAUUUACAGACAAUAUAGGAUAUAAAGUUCUGAGGUGGCAGGAAUGUUUCUCCUCAGGUAUCUGGGAAGACUUGGGAAAGGCAGAAUUUGAGCCUGGACUUGCUGGUUGGGGAGGAUCUAGAUUUCUUCCACGUGAUAAAGCACCUACUGGGUGUCAGGCACUGUGCUAAGAAUUGGAACACAAUGAUGAGCACUGUGUGGGCUCUGUCCUCAAGGAAAGACUUACUGUCUAUGUGGGCAGCAGGUGUGGGAACAGAGGACGAAGCAGAGCCCUGGAAAAGGUGUGAUAUUGGAAGGUGGCUAGGGAAGUAAGCUGGGGGCAUGGAGUGUGUGUGUGUGUGUGUGUGUGUGUGUGUGUGUGUGUGUGGCAUCGGAUGUAUGGAGAGAAAGAAAGAGAGAUAGAGAAAGGUAGUUCUGGAUGGGCUCCAUUGAGGUUGUAACAUUUGAGUUGAGUCUUGAAGCUUCUGUGUACUCUAUGGACUCAGAGGAAUGGCAUUCUAGACACGGGGAACAGUCAAUGAGAAGGCAUGGACAGAGGCCACUCAGUAAAGACAGGGUGAGAAUUUAGAGAAGUCUGCGUAACUGGAACAAAGGAUGCGUGUGGGCUGUGAUAGCAGUUGAGUCUGGGAAAAGGAGGCAGGA